rnacentral:rRNA from 1 species
AUUGAACGCUGGCGGCAGGCUUAACACAUGCAAGUCGAGCGAGCGGCGGACGGGUGAGUAAUGUCUGGGAAACUGCAUGAUAGAGGGGGAUAACUACUGGAAACGGUAGCUAAUACCGCAUACCAUCAGAUGUGCCCAGAUGGGAUUAGCUAAUAGGGGGGGAAAGGGCUCACCUAGGCGACGAUCCAUAGCUGGUCUGAGAGGAUGACCAGCAACACGGGAACUGAGACACGGUCCAGACUCCGACGUGAGGCAGCAGUGGGGAAUAUUGAACAAUGGGCGGAAGCCUGAGGCAGCCAUGCCGAGUGUGUGAAGAAGGCCUUUGUGUUGUAAAGCACUUUCAGCGAGGAGGCGUUACUCGCAGAAGAAGCACCGGCUAACUCCGUGCCAGCGGCCGCGGUAAUAC